GAUGGUACAAAACGUCGCAAUCUCGUAAGAGGGAGCUAAUCGCAAAAACCAUUCUCAGUUGGGAUUGAAGUCUGCAACUCGACUUCAUGAAGUUGGAAUCGCUAGUAAUCGCGGAUCAGAACGCCGCGGUGAAUACGUUCCCGGGCCUUGUACACACCGCCCGUCACAUCACGAAAGUAGGUUGUACUAGAAGUAGGAGGGCUAACCCGCAAGGGAGGCAUCUUACCACGGUAUGAUUUAUGAUUGGGGUGAAGUCGUAACAAGGUAGCC
rnacentral:rRNA from 1 species